rnacentral:lncRNA from 1 species
AUGCAAUAUAUAAAAGAUUUAUCAAGCAGAAAUCUAGCAAGUAGGAUAUUUAAUCCCAUAGUAUAACAGAGAAUAAGCAAAGAUGGAAGCUCGUUCAGAGACCGGAAAGUAAUAAAAAAUGGGGAAAAGAAACCACUAUUCUCAGACAUAAUACACAAGAAUCCCCCACAUUCAAUAGCAAAGAAACAAGAAUAUGCAUCAACAAUUGAUAUUAAGAUAAGUGAGCUUAACAAAAUAAAAAGAAAUAACCAACUAAAAGAAUAAAAGCAAGAGAGUCAGCAAAUACAUACUCUUGAGAGUAAUGACAAGAGACAUUAAUUGUGCCCUCAUCUAUCGCCAGUUCCUCAUGUUGAUUUAACAUUUCAUUGCUAAAUGCAGAAUCGGCAACAAGAGGUGAUCUUAACCAUUGGUUUUGAGCCUGAAAUGUGUUGUUAUCUGCAUCUAAAAGAAACCUCCUUUAAGACUAACAUUACUGAACCAUCCAACAGAGCAAUAGUAUAUGAGCAAAAGNNNN